rnacentral:rRNA from 1 species
AGCAGCCGCGGUAAUUCCAGCUCCAAUAGCGUAUAUUAAAGUUGCUGCAGUUAAAAGCUCGUAGUUGAAUUUCGGGACCAUCAUGUUGGUCGUGCCUAGGUACGUACUGGCAUUGUUGGUUUCUCCCUUCUGACGAACCAUGAUGUCAUUUAUUUGGUGUCGUGGGAAAUCAGGACUGUUACUUUGAAAAAUUGAGUGUUUAAAGCAGGCUCACGCUUGAAUACAUUAGCAUGGAAUAAUGAAAUAGGACGUUUGAUUCUAUUUUGUUGGUUUCUAGGAUCGACGUAAUGAUUAAUAGGGAUAGUUGGGGGCAUUAGUAUUCAAUUGUCAGAGGUGAAAUUCUUGGAUUUAUUGAAGACUAACUACUGCGAAAG